UACGUAGGGGGCGAGCGUUGUCCGGAAUUACUGGGCGUAAAGGGCACGCAGGCGGUCUUGCCAGUCAGGGGUGAAAGCCCGGGGCUCAACCCCGGAACUGCCUCUGAUACUGCAGGACUAGAGACUAGGAGAGGGUGGUGGAAUUCCCAGUGUAGAGGUGAAAUUCGUAGAUAUUGGGAGGAACACCAGAGGCGAAGGCGGCCACCUGGACUAGAUCUGACGCUCAGGUGCGAAAGCGUGGGGAGCAAACAGG
rnacentral:rRNA from 1 species